rnacentral:rRNA from 1 species
UUUGGACAAUGGGGGAAACCCUGAUCUAGCCAUCCCGCGUGAAUGAGGAUGGCCUUCGGGUUGUAAAGUACUUUUGUCUGAGCAGAAAAGGUACCUCCUAAUACGAGUUACUGCUGACGGUAUCUGCAGAUUAAGCACCGUCUAACUACGUUCCAGCAGCCGCGGUAAUACGUAGGGUGCAAGCGUUAAUCGGAAUUACUGGGCGUAAAGCGUGUGUAGGCGGUUCGGAAAGAAAGAUGUGAAAUCCCAGGGCUCAACCUUGGAACUGCAUUUUAACUGCCGAGCUAGAGUAUGUCAGAGGGGGGUAGAAUUCCACGUGUAGCAGUGAAAUGCGUAGAUAUGUGGAGGAAUACCGAUGGCGAAGGCAGCCCCCUGGGAUAAUACUGACGCUCAGACACGAAAGCGUGGGGAGCAAACA